GGCUGUGCCUCCCCGUGCUGUGGUUCAGAACCCAGCUUGACUGUGCCAUAGUCCAGAACCCGGCUUGAGACCAAAACCUAAAGCAAUCAGAUGACACGCCUUACUUUUUUCCCAUCUCUCGGGAAUCGCACUGGCUCUCAUCCAACAUCAGAACACAUUUGUUCAGAUAUGCGCUGUUGACAGCCGGAAGGCUAUUCCAGGACUAGCUCCUCAACCGUGACUGGAAGCAGAGUUCAGCACCAAGAGCAACAUCAUGAGAAGUAAUCUCAGAUGCUGAAGAUCUUAUGUGAAGUCCUGGAUGGGCUACUUGGAAGCUGAGACCUUCAGGAAAAAAUCACUCAACUCUUCAAGUUGGAGUUUCCUGCUCUAUGCAAUGGAAAAAAAAAAAAAAGAGAGAGAGAGAGAGAGAGAGAGAAAAAAAAGAACCCUUUCUCAAAAGAAAUGCAGAUUGAUGCAACAACAUAGAUCAACUGAAUCACGAAAUAGCGUUGAAGACUGACAGCAGCUUCCUGGGUUACCUCUUCAAGAGAUGUCUGCAUGCGGAUUCCCAAAGCAGAAGCCAGUGAUCCCAUAGGCAUGAAGCUCUCAUGCAACCAGGCAGAGGCAUGAGGGAGCACUGGGGCCGAGGUCCCAUCCCAGCAUUCCUUACGUCCUAGGAUGUGUGCAGCUUUUCUCUGCCUGGCAAAUA